rnacentral:misc_RNA from 1 species
AACCUUAUGGACCUGCGGGCGUAUACCUGCGGAAGGAUCAUUACUGUGAUUUACUACUACACUGCGUGAGCGGAACGAAAACAACAACACCUAAAAUGUGGAAUAUAGCAUAUAGUCGACAAGAGAAAUCUACGAAAAAACAAACAAAACUUUCAGCAAUGGAUCU